rnacentral:lncRNA from 10 species
AUAGGGUAAUCUAUGCCUUUUGAACCACUCUUUACAAAAUCUUCAUCCUGCCUUUGCUACUAACAACUUCACCAAACCACUGGAAGAGGAACUAUAUGAGUGAAAAAAUCACAUCAUUCUUCCUCAGCAUUUGUAUUAGUUUGUUCUUAUGCUGCUGAUAAAGACAUACCUGAGACUGGGUAGUUUAUAAAGAAAAAGAGGUUUAAUGGACUCAACAUUUCCCCAUGGCUGGGGAGACCUCACAAUCAUGGGAGAAGGCAAAGGAGGAGCAAAGGCAUGUCUUACAUGGCAGCAGAAAUAUUGAAAUUGUUGGCAAAAUCUGUUGGAACAUAUUUCCUGGCAAAAGAGAAAGCAUGAACAUAAGAUGAAGUGAAUGUGAUCUUGGGGACAAAAAAGCAAGUUCAAUCUCCAACUCUAAGAAUUUAUUGAGUUAGCGGCAGCUACUUAUUGCGUUUUCUGUUUACUACUUUGCUUCUAAAUUUUACAUAUAUGUUUACGUCUGUAUUCAA